CACGUUCUCAUGGUAAUACCAUAAUAACUAAAUGACACGUUCACAACGGAAAAUCUAAUUUAGAAUAAUAUACAAUGAUUUAUUAUAAUUAUUCCCCCAAGUCUCACAACCUACAGUACUUAAUAGAUUACAUAAUAAUAUCGAAUAAAGACUUACUACAAAAUCCUACUUAAGCUUAAACAUAGUCUGAAAAUAGUCUUAAUACAACACAAAAAUUUUAACAUAAAGGAACAGGCUAGUCGGUAGCCUUGCCCUUGCCCUUGUCUGUUCCAGAGACACCUCCCUGUUCCGCCUUAACUGAAAGGUUUUAAAUAAGCAAAGAUGAGCACAAAUUCCCCAACAAGUAAUAUACAACAAGGGUGAAGGAUAUAAUAUCACAAGUUUGAAUUAUCGAAGUAUUAUCUCUAAGAUAGUUCAGAGUUUCAGAAUAAUAUCAUGAAUAGUGAAUAUCAACAAUUCAUCAACAAUUCUUGGAAUAAGAAUGAUAAUUUAAUAUAAAUCAACAGAUAUAUAUAUAUAAAUUCAAAGAUUAUCAAUGUAUCCAACUGGAUAAAAAAUUUAUACUGAGUAGUCACUAAGGACUAUUGAACAUCCACUAGAGUUACCAAUAUUAAACUGAUAUCCCAAAAGAAUCAAGUACUAUAGAUGAUCAAUCUAUAAUACUCUAAGUUAUGCAUAACACCACAAUAAUAUCCCCUCAUGUGUUGGGGUUUCCAACAACAUACACUCCCCUUACCAUAAGAGUUGUUCAACUCAGUUUUCAAGAUUUCCUUACCAAUCAAUUGGUUUGGACAGUUUUAUAAACAUGCAUAUAGUCUAUCCAAAUUAAAUGGCAUCGACUCUUUCAUAAUAUUCAAGAACAAUACCAAGUUAGCAUAAAUAAUAGUUUUCACAAGAGUCUAAACAUACUUGUUCAAUUGAAUGAAUAAGUAGAAUAACUUGCAUUCAAAGAGAUAAGGUUUAGAUACUCUGCUUACGGUAUUCGUUGAAUAAAGUAAUCCAAAGAUACUUGCACAAUAAGAGUAGGGUUCGGAUACUUGCUCAAGUGAAAAAGUAAGAGUUAAGGAACUUGCACAAUCAAAGAGUGAAGUUCAAGGAAACUUGCCUUAAGCGUAGUUUUCCACGUUAAUAAAUCAACACUUUCGAAUCCUAGUAUUGCGUAUUAUAAGUACAAGAUGCUCAUUAGCUAACACAUUCAUUAAUCAAGUUUGACACGAUUCAAGUAUGCACAUAUGGUACAAAUCAGAUUAUAAAUUCAUCAUGAAUCAAAUACCUAGUCAUUUCAUAAGUAAUUUAAGAAUACUCAAGGUUAAGUCCUUUUUACCCAUGGACAUUCCUAUUACGAGGCAAACACCAUCAUAUCAUCUAAGCAUCACUUAUAUACAUGUAUUAGUAGGUUUUAAACUACUUUUAGUAAUAUAGGCUUCACACAAGUUAGCUAUCCAAAGAUCAGAUUUCACUAUCUCAAAUUCAAGACUGGCGCAGCUGCGCCGUCCGCAGGCCAAGCCAAGACUCAAUUGUUGCCUUGAGGUUUAUGUCUGGCAUAAACACAAUAAUCAUAUAUAAUUAUGCUAAAGGUCUUUUCAUGCUUCUCAAGUUAAUCUAGGUUCUUCAUUUCAUCAUAUAAUUCCAAAUUAAUUAUUUCAACAAUUUAAGGCCCUUCAAGGUCAUGAAACCAGAAAGUCUAUUAUGCUUGCUCUCUAAUCAUACAAGGUAGUUACAAUACUCGUAUUAGGCAUGCUUGUGAGUAUUCAUAACGCAUAUGUGAAAUUAACACUGCUUUAGUUGAAAAUAUGCUUCGUUCAUGUUUUUCUUGAAAUAUGAUACACAAGCAUGGUAUAUAUAUGGUUAUGUUACAUGAGUGAGCCUAAGAGUAACAUUAACAUGAUUACAAAUGUCAGAUUCUAACCCUUAAGGUAGUUUGUCAAUAUUCAUGUUCAAAGGUCAUAUUUUUAUUUGUAAAGUGCAUUAAUUCAUUCAACAUGUUCAUGCUCUCUUACGAAUCAUAUAAACAUAAGUUAACGGUUUAUUUAUGCAUUUCUAGAUCAUGCCAACAUGCUUGCAAAGUCAGUACACAAAUAUGUCAUUCAUACUCGUCAAGUUCGUUUCUAAAGUUUCCAAAUUCAUUUUAAUCCACACACUUUCGUUAAUCAUGCUAAUCUAGUAAAACAUGCUCUCCUCAAGUUAAUAUACUGGUAUAUACCCCUUACACAUGCGUACAUGCUAGUUUGAGACAUAACAAUUGACUAACAUUGAUCAAAUUUGAAAAUAGAAAGUCCAAUUGAAAACAGAGACCGGCGCAGCUACGUUGCGCUGCGCCUUAGUGUAAAUCCGGCGCAGCUGCGUCGUCCCUAGUUCAAGCCAUGAACAGUCUACUUCGGUAGAAAGCUAGCCCAACCUUAGAAAUUAUUCAUCAUUUCAAUUCUAACCAGCCAUGUAUCAAUUGCAACAUGCCUAUAUGGUUAUAUAACAACUAUUUAAACAUUACCCAACCUCAUUAACAUAUAAUUCCACAAAAUCAAGAAUUUGUAUUUCAAUACUCACGAACUCUAUUUUGAUAGAGAAUGAAAUGGAAGCAAGGAAAAGGAAUUAUACCUUUGUAAUGUGAAAGAACUUGCUCCUAAUGAACUCCCAAUGUCCUAAAAUCAUUGUAUGCUCUCAACCUCACCCUCAAUGGAAUUCUCAGCAAUGGAAAAAAAUGAAAGGAGAGCUCUCAUUUAUAGAACACUCAAAACCCAGACAAUGACAUUUUCCCCUAAAUCAAACUCAUGGAUGAAAGAAUUGCAUGAAGGGCAAGGAGGAGUUGUUGGAUGUUAGUUGGAUUUCAUCAUGACCACCACUCCCCCCAUGAUCAUUUAGCUAGGAAGCUUGGAAGAAGAAAUAGGCCUUAGCCUUUUUAGUUUAUGCGUGAUUGAGAAAUGAGGCAAAUGGGACACUCAUUUUGGGACACUUCCAACUAACUCAGCCAUUAUGUACACUUAUACAAAUUCCCACUCUUGUGCUAUUUUUCUUAUAUACAUAUUAACUAUACAUUAUAACUUAAUGUCACAAUAUGAUUUAACAUUUCAAGGUAGUAGAUGCUAUGCAACAUCCAUGUACAUUUUUUUUAAUGUAUACCUACCUACACAUUGUCACAUAGAUAUUUUAUAAUGUAUUUAUAACAUAUAGUUCCAAUAUGUUUAAUCACAUUGCUUCAUACAAUAUAGUUUUAUAAGACUUAAUAUAUAGUCACACAAAUGUCACACUGCACUAUAUAGUAUAGUUGUAUUAUUGCUCACAUGCACAUAACCGUCAAUAUAAUCUUAUUAUAUUUAUAACUCACUUAUUUGUUUUAUGUCAAAUAAAUAAUUUAAUCCAUUCUUCCUUAAUUAAUAUUUUUAUGGAUCUCCAUAACCAUUAAUUAUCUAUAUAAUUCUUAUUAUAUUUAUAGACAUAUUGCAAACAAUAAUAAUCACAUAUUAUUAAUUAAUUACCAAGUAAUCAAUAUUCCACCACCAUCAAUUAAUAUUAAUUAAUGGCUUACUUAAUAAUUCCUUCGUCGAACAAAACGCACUUUGUUCCAUGGUUUAUUAAUGUCACAUAUAUCACAUAAUUGUUCCAUUUUAUUUCUAAAGUAGAAAAAUUAAUUUUUCUCCAACUGACCACUGGCGCAGCUGCGCCAGUUCGUACUGCUGGGACGGUACAGCUGCGUCGUACCCUGACAGUGCCAAGACUGGUUUAGCUUCAAUCCAGCGUCAAUUUCCAUCGCCAAACUUGUUUUACUCGACAUAAAUUAAUGUCCACAAGAGAUAUCACCAGUCUAAGAGCGUAUUGAUUACUUAUAUGAAAUCACAUGAUCUUACACGAUUAAUCUUCCUAAUUCUCGUUUUAAUUCGCUUAGUAAAUUUCCUCGUUUCACAUUAUGCCACACAAGGCGUUUCACAAUUCUCAUUGUCAAUUCACAUUUCUUAAUACACAUUGAUCUAAUACGAAUCAAUUGAAUUAAUCGACUCAUAAAACAAUAACACUUAUAUUCACAUAAAUAUUAUUUCCAUUAAUAUAUUCAUUUAAUAAUACGUGGAAAUUCUCGGGUAUUACAUCCUCCCCCCUUAUAAAAAAUCCAUCCCGAAAUUGCUACAAGGUUACACAAAUAGAUGGGGAUAAUUCCUCAUCAUUCUAUCUUCUAAAUCCCAAGUAGCCUCAUCGUGGUUACGCCAAAGUACUUUUACAGAAGAAAUGACUUUGUUCCUUAAAGUUUGCUCCUUCUUAUCUAGAAUUUGGACAGGAAUUUCUUCAUACGCUAAGUUCUUCUCCACUUGAAUGGGUUCAUAAGAAAUCAUGUGUUUGUAGUCGGACUUGUACAGACACAACACGGAUAUGUGAAACACGUUAUGGAUGUGCUCCAACUCAGGUGGUAGUGCAACUUUGUACGCUACUUUGCCCACUCGUUUUAGUAUCUCGAACGGUCCUAUGAAUCUUGGACUCAGUUUUCCUUUCUUGUCGAAACGGAUCUUUCCCUUCCAUGGAGAUACCUUCAGGAAUACAAAACUGGUAAAUUUAAAAUCUCGGUCUUGUCGAUGCAAGUCUGCAUACUUCUUCUGGUGAUCUUGAGCUGCUACUAGUCUGGCUCUUAUCACUGUCACCACAUCCGCGGUUUGUUGUACUAACUCUGGUCCGAGUAUUCGUCAUUCUCCAACUUCGUCCCAAUAUAAUGGCUUUCUGCACUUCCUUCAGUAAAGAGCUUCAUAUGGUGGCAUGCCGAUACUCGCAUGGUAACUAUUAUUAUACGCAAAUUCGACUAAGGGUAGGUGGUCGUCCCAAUUUCCCUUGAAGUCCAUCACGUAAGUCCUAAGCAUGUCCUCUAGCGUUUGUAUUGUUCGCCCAAUCUGUCCAUCUAUCUGAGGGUGAUAUGCGGUACUCAACCUCAACUGUGUUCCCAUCCUCUCUUGCAAGCUUUUCCAGAACUUUAACAUGAAGCGCGGAUCUCGGUUAAAAAUAAUCGAUACCGGCACUCCAUGUCGUGAAAUAAUUUCCAUUACGUACAGACUCGCUAACUGAUUUAAACUGUAGCGGAUCUUGAUCGAUAGAAAAUGUGCGGUCUUCGUAAAUCGAUCCACGAUAACCCAAAUGGCAUCUAAACCUUUCUGCGUGAUUGGAAGUCCUACCAUGAAAUCCAUCGUAAUAUGCUCCCAUUUCCAUUCUGGUAUUUCUAACGGUUGUAGAAAUCCACUCGGCCGCUGAUGCUCCGCUUUGACUCGUUGACACGUAAGACAUCUACUAACGUACUCCGCAAUUUCUCGUUUCAGAUUUGGCCACCAAAAAUGUUGUUUCAAGUCCCGAUACAUCUUCAUGCCUCCAGGAUGAAUGGAAAAUGUCGUAUUAUAUGACUCGUACAAAAUCUCCUCUCUUAACUCGGCUACCGCCGGUACCCACACUCUACCUUCGAAUCUUAAGAUAUCGUUUUUAUCCAUUCAAAAUUUAUCUUCCUCAUUUUAUGUGAUCCUCUUCCUGAUUUUCUCACAUUCUCCAUCUUUCUCCUGUGCUUCUUUUAUUCUAUCCAAUAAUGUCGGACAAGCUUAUAUUAUAAAUAACUUCUCUUCAGACCUCUCGGGUCCCUUUACCUCUAUUUCCAACUUCUCCAUAUCUCUUAUUAACUCCUCCUGAGUUGUUAAUUGCAUCAGUUUCUCCCUUCCUUUUCUGCUCAGAGCGUCGGCAACUACAUUUGCCUUCCCCGGGUGAUAAUGAAUAUCACAGUCAUAAUCUUUGAUCAAUUCUAACCACCUUCUCUGAUGCAUAUUCAACUCCUUUUGUGUGAAGAUAUAUUUCAGACUUUUAUGGUCCAUGUAUAUCUCACAUUUCUCUCCGUACAAAUAAUGUCUCCAUAUCUUUAACGCAAAAACUACUGCCGCUAACUCUAAGUCAUGAGUAGGGUAUCAUUUUUCAUAAUCCUUCAAUUGUCGUGAUGCAUACACAAUGACUUUAUCGUGUUGCAUAAGCACACAACCAAGUCCUCUAUGCGACGCAUCACUAUACACCACAAAUCCUGUCGUAUCAUCUGGUAAUGAUAAUACAGGCACCUCGCUUAAUCUCUUCUUCAAAUCUUGAAAACUUUCUUCGCAUUUGUCGGUCCAUACAAAUUUCAACGUCUUCCUCGUCAAAUUAGUCAACGGGGUCGCUAUCUUAGAAAAAUCCUGGAUAAAUCUUUGAUAGUACCCAGCUAACCCUAAGAAACUUCUCACCUCCGUCGGGGUUCUCGGUUGUUCCCAAUUACUUACUGCUUUGACCUUUUCGGGGUCUAAUGAGAUUCCAUUCUCAUCCACCACGUGGCCUAAGAAUUGAACCUUCUUUAUCCAGAAUUCGCACUUAGAAAAUUUCGCAUACAUCUUCUCCUUUCUUAGUGCCUCCAAAACAAUCUUCAGAUGUUUGGCGUGUUCUUCCUCCAUCUUUGAGUAGAUCAAAAUAUCGUCGAUGAAAACCACCACAAAUUUAUCCAAAUAUGGCUUGAAACUCAAUUCAUCAAGUCCAUGAAUGUUGCCGGAGCAUUAGUCAAACCAAAUGACAUUACCAAAAACUCGUAAUGUCCAUAACGGCUUCAAAACGCAGUCUUUGGUAUGUCCUCAUCCCGCACUUUCAGUUGGUGAUAUCCCAUCCGCAGGUCGAUCUUCGAGAAACACUUCGCUCCUUUCAGUUGAUCAAAUAAGUCAUCUAUCCUUGGUGGCGGAUAUCUGUUCUUGAUUGUUACUCUGUUCGAUUCUCGAUAAUCGAUACAGAGCCUCAUCGAUCUGUCCUUUUUCUUAACGAAUAACACUGGUGAAGGAGACACACUUGGUCAAAUGUAACCCUUAUCCAACAACUCUUGAAGUUGUAUCAUCAAUUCCUUCAUUUCUACUAGCGCCAUAGGAUAUGGAGCUUUCGAAAUCGGUGACGUCCUUGGUGCUAAGUCUAUUACGAAUUCGAUUUCUCUGUCUGGCGAAAGGCCAGGCAGAUCAUCCGGAAACACAUCCUAAAAUUCAUUCACUACGGGUAUAUCUUUAAUCUCUAUUCCCUUUUUCCGAGUAUCCACAAUGUAAGCUAAAUAACCUACACAUCCUUUCUUUAACAUUUUCUUGUCCUGCAUCAUCGUAACGCAACACGAUUGCUUAAGCGAUGAGCUACCAUAAAACACUACCUUAGACUUACUCAGAGUCUGAAGGUUCACACAUUUACUCUGAUAGUCAAUUACUGCUGCAUGGUUAUAUAACCAAUCCAUCCCCAGUAUUACGUCAAAUUCUCCUAGUCUAAUAGGAAUCAAGACUACACUAAGUUCAUGUUCUCUAAUGUUUGCGCGACAAUUUUGAUAGACGUAUUCUACAGGGAUUAUUUCCUUAUUCGUAACUUCUAUGUUCAAAGGAUCUUUUAAACAUUCUCGGGGUGUAUUAAAUUUACUAGCAAAUUCUUCGGAUACAAAAGAACAGGUGGCACCCGAAUCAAAUAAUACAUAAGUAUUUAUAUUAUUCAUUGGGAUUAUACCUGACACCACGUCCUUCGCAUCCACUGCGUCCUAGACGGUCAUGUUAAAGGUUCGAGCGGUCGAUCGGUUGGGUUGUGCAGGUCCACCAAUCAUUAACUUACUUCCUCCUCCCUGGCCUCCACCAGUUCCACUGCUUCCUUUCUUCGGGCAAUCCUUUAUCUGGUACUCUGUUGAUCCACAAGCAAAACAUCUUCUGAUCUUCUUCGGCUUUGGGAAAUUUGGUGAUAUGUGCCCCUCUUGGCCGCAAUUAUAGCAGGUGUUCUUUCUCUUCCAACACUUUCCCUGACGACUUCUUCCACAUUUGUUACAAACUUCAGUCCUUCUCUUGAAGUUUCCCUGGUGACUCCAACCUUGAUUAUUGCUUCUGUUGUUAUUGUUUUCCCAUUUACUCUUUCCGGAGUUACUUCCUCCGCUGCUGCUUCCUCCACGAUGCUCACUACUAGUGUUCUUGUUCUUCUUCUCCUUAUGAUAUGACUUAAGGCCUCACUGCCACCUUCCGCAAUGAUUGCCUUCUCUAACAAUGUCGUAAAGGAAUCAAUUUGGAAGACUAAUACCUUAUUAUACAACCACGGCUUCAACCCUUGCUCGAAGCGUCUCGCCUUUCUUUCCUCAUCCAAAACUUGGUGCUCCGCAAAUCGCGCUAGUUCAUUAAACUUAGUCGCGUAUUGCGCCACCGUCAUAUCACCUUGUUUUAACUCUAGGAACUUCACUUCCAUCCUACUCUUUGGGAAAUAGUUCUCGAAGAACAACGUAGUAAACCUCUCCCAUGUUAUCGUUCCUUCUCCCGCUCUCUGCUGAUUAGUUUCCCACUAAUAGUUCGCUUCUCCCCUCAUCAUGUAUGUGGCAAAUACUGUCUUUUGGUCUUCACCCACGCGAGCUAUAGUGAAGGCCUUCUCGAUCUCCUUGAUCCAGGUUUGCGCAACUAUCGGGUCAGUGGUUCCCUUGAACUCCGGGGGUCCUACACUCUUAAAAUCUUUGAAGGUUGUUACUGGGACAGCUUGGGGAACGGGUGGUAAGGGUUCGUUUCUUCCCCUCAGAGCUUCUCCCAAUAAAUCUACCAGUCUCUGUAUCGGAUCUACUGGACCUCUCUCAUCAUUAACUGACUAUUCUAGGACAGUUAUUCUACGUCUGGGCGGUAUUUUCUGCAUCACAAAAUUUUUCAUUUUAUUAUCUAAUUAUCAUAUUUAGACAUUUCUCAAUAGAAAAGAACUACAAGUUUACAACACGUUUCUGAAAUAAGAUCAUUUAUAUUCAUAUGCCAAAUGGUUACAUUACAUGUUCUUUUCUAGCAUACUGCUAUAAAUGAUAUCACAAAUCCCCUAUUAUCACAAAAGACGGGGACAACACCAUCUUACUACCCCUCAAACAUUUUUCAAAAGUUGGGGUUUUACUACUACCUCACGUCAUACACAAAAGACUGAGAUUACAACAACAUAUUAAACAACACCAUAUCUCGACUUAUGGUAUACCGGGUCUGUCCUUGCUCAGCUGGGUAAUGAUUUACCCCAUUGAUCAAUCUCUCCAUGGUCGUACGUAGAGCAUAGCCCAUCUUGUUCAUCUUCCUCCUUUUGCACCGCAGCUCGUCUUCUAGAUCAUCUACCCUAUCAUUGGUUUCCUCCCACUUCUCCUCAAAGUGAAUCCUAUCCAUCACCUCCAUCUCUAACUGAGUUCAAAGAGCCUCCUUCUCCAUCCUCUCACUCAAAACCUUCUGCUCUAAUUCCUCCAGCUUUCCUGCCAUCUCAACAUUUCUCGCCACCGCUCGGUGAAACAAAGCUCCCAUCUAGAUCCCUGCCUCCUUACGGUGAGCAAUUUCCACCUCCAUUUCUUGCAUCGUCAAUUUUCCCUGAUGGUCCUCGUCCCUCAACUUCUGGAACGCGGAAUCCCUCUCCUUAGCCAUAGCUUCAAGCUCCUCUACUCUACAUCCUAAUUCCAAAAUUUGCUCUUCAUACUCCCCUAGCAUUCGAUCCUCAAAAGUGGCCUCGUCGGAGUCCUCCAAAGGCUCGGGCUCCUCCUCCAAAGGCUUCUCCUCCGGAUCAGACUCCACCUCUUCCUCAUCGUCAUCGUCAUCGUUCGGGACCACUACUGAUAUAGGUUCUGCUAUCAAUGGUGCCUCAUAGACUACGUGGAUAUCACACGGCUCCUCCUCUACUACUCGGCUAGGUCCUCCCAUGUCAGUCAUCCUAUAAUCACCAACAUAAGACAACACAAACAACAACUCCAUUAGAAUAUUAAAUAAACAUAAGUUCAUUAUAUAGAAUGAAGUUACAUUUCAUAACACACUAAGUUUCUCAAGGAAAACUCUACAUGAGUUUUAUCUCCAUACUAACUUCUAAGUUCUCCUAAGUUAUAAUCUAAGGACACUCGCUCCUAAGGUUUAUAACUACGGCUUUGAUACCAACCUGUGACGCCCCUAAAUUCGGACCUCCACUUGGUCACUCGAAUUUGGUUCAUCGCGUUCUCAUUGUAAUACCAUAAUAACUAAAUGACACGUUCACAACGAAAAAUCUAAUUUAGAAUAAUAUACAAUGAUUUAUUAUAAUUAUUCCCCCAAGUCUCGCAACCUACAGUACUUAAUAGAUUAUAUAAUAAGAUCGAAUAAAGACUUAUUACAUAAUCCUACUUAAGCGUAAACAUAGUCUGAAAACAGUCUUAAUACAACAUAGAAAUUUUAACAUAAAGGAAUAGGCUAGUCGGUAGCCUUGCCCUUGCCCUUGUCUGUUUCAGAGACACCUCCCUGUUCCGCCUUAACUGAAAGGUUUUAAAUAAGCAAGGAUGAGCACAAAUUGCCCAACAAGUAAUAUACAACAAGGUGAAGGAUAUAAUAUCACAAGUUUGAUUAUCGAAGUAUCAUCUCUAAGAUAGUUCAAAGUUUCAAAAUAAUAUCACGAAUAGUGAAUAUCAACAAUUCUUGGAAUAAGAAUGAAAAUUCAAUAUAAAUCAACAGAUAUAUAUGAAUUCAAAGACUAUCAAUGUAUCCAACUGAUAAACAAUUUAUACUGAGUAGUCACUAAGGACUAUUAAACAUCCACUAGAGUUACCAAUAUUAAACUGAUAUCCUAAAAGAAUCAAGUACUAUAGAUGAUCAAUCUAUAAUACUCUAAGUUAUGCAUAACACCACAAUAAUAUCCCCUCAUGUGUUGGGGUUUCCAACAACAUACACUCCCCUUACCAUAAGGGUUGAUCAACUCAGUUUUCAAGAUUUCCUUACCAAUCAAUUGGUUUGGACAGUUUUAUAAACAUGCAUAUAGUCUAGCCGAAUCAAAUGGCAUCGACUCUUUCACAAUAUUCAAGAACAAUACCAAGUUUAACAUGAAUAAUAGUUUUCACAAGAGUCUAAACAUACUUGUUCAAUUGAAUGAAUAAGUAGAAUAACUUGCAUUCAAAGAGAUAAGGUUUAGAUACUCUGCUUACGGUAUUCGUUGAAUAAAGUAAUGCAAAGAUACUUGCACAAUAAGAGUAGGGUUCGGAUACUUGCUCAAGUGAAAGAGUAAGAGUUAAGGAACUUGCACAAUCAAAGAGUGAAGUUCAAGGAAACUUGCCUUAAGCGUAGUUUAUCCACGUUAAUAAAUAAACACUUUUGAAUCCUAGUAUAGCGUAUUAUAAGUACAAGAUGCUCAUUAGCUAACACAUUCAUUAAUCAAGUUUGACACGAUUCAAGUAUGCACAUAUGGUACAAAUUAGAUUAUAAAUUCAUCAUGAAUCAAAUACCUAGUCAUUUCAUAAGUAAUUUAAGAAUACUCAAGGUUAAGUCCUUUUUAUCCAUGGACCCUCCUAUUACAAGGCAAACACCAUCAUAUCAUCUAAGCAUAACUUAUAUACAUGUAUCAGUAGGUUUUAAACUACAUUUAGUAAUAUAGGCUUCACAUAAGUUAGCUGUCCAAAGAUCAGAUUUCACUAUCUCAGAUUCCAGACUGGCGCAGCUGCGCCAUGGCUAAGCCUAGGAACAGCGCAGCUGCACCAUCCUCUGUCCAAGCCAAGACUCAGAUGUUGCCUUGAGGUUUCUGUCCAGCAUAAACACAACAAUCAUAUAUAAUCGUGCUAAAGGUCUUUUCAUGCUUCUCAAGUCAAUCUAGGUUCUUCAUUUCAUCAUAUAAUUCCAAAUUAAUUAUUUUAACAAUUUAAUGCCCUUCAAGGUCAUGAAACCACAAAGUCUAUCAUGCUUGCUCUCUAAUCAUACAUGGUAGUUACAAUACUCGUAUUAGGCAUGCUUAUGAGUAUUCAUAACGCAUAUGUGAAAUUAACACCGCUUUAGUUGAAAAUAUGCUUCGUUCAUGCUUUUCUUGAAAUAUGAUACACAAGCAUGGUAUAUAUAUGGUUAUAUUACAUGAGUGAGCCUAAGAGUAACAUUAACAUGAUUACAAAUGUCAGAUUCUAACCCUCAAGGUAGUUUGUCAAUAUUCAUGUUCAAAGGUCAUAUUUUCAUUUGUAAAGUGCACUAAUUCGUUCAACAUGUUCAUGCUCUCUUACGAAUCAUAUAAACAUAAGUUAAUGGUUUAUUUAUGCAUUUCUAGAUCAUGCCAACAUGCUUGCAAAGUCAGUACAUAAAUAUGUCAUUCAUACUCAUCAAGUUCGUUUCUAAAGUUCCCAAAUUCAUUUUAAUCCACACACUUUCGUUAAUCAUGCUAAUCUAGUAAAACAUGCUCUCCUCAAGUUAAUUUACUGGUAUAUACCCCUUACACAUGCGUACAUGCUAGCCUGAGCCAUAAAGAUUGACUAACAUUCAUCAGAUUUGAAAAUAGAAACUCCAACUAAAAACAAAGACCGGCGUAGCUGCGCUGCGCCUUAGUGUAAAUCUGGCACAGCUGCGCCGUGCCUGGUUUGAGCCAAGAACAGUCUGCUUCGGCAGAAAGCUAGCCCAACCUUAGAAAUUAUUCAUCAUUUCGAUUCUAACCAGUUAUGUAUCAAUUGCAACAUGCUUAUAUGGUUAUAUAACAACUAUUUAAACAUUACCCAACCUCAUUAACAUACAAUUCCACAAAAUCAAGAAUUUGUAUUUCAAUACUCAUGAACUCUGUUUUGACAGAGAAUGAAAUGGAAGCAAGGAAAAGGAAUUAUACCUUUGUAAUGUGAAAGAACUUGCUCCUAAUGAACUGCCAAUGUCCUAAAAUGCUUGUAUGCUCUCAACCUCACCCUCAAUGGAAUUCUCAGUAAUGAAAAAAAAUGAAAGGAGAGCUCUCAUUUAUAGAACACUCAAAACCCAGACAAUGACAUUUUCCCCUAAAUCAAACUCAUGGAUGAAAGAAUUGUAUGAAGGGCAAGGAGGAGUUGUUGGAUGUUAGUUGGAUUUCAUCAUGACCACCACUCCUCCCAUGAUCAUUUAGCUAGGAAGCUUGGAAGAAGAAAUAGGCCUUAGCCUUUUUGGUUUAUACGUGACUGAGAAAUGAGGCAAAUGGGACACUCAUUUUGGGACACUUCAACUAACUCAUCCAUCAUGUACACUUAUACAAAUUCCCACUCUUGUGCUAUUUUUCUUAUAUACAUAUCAAUUAUAUAUUAUAACUUUAUGUCACAAUAUGAUUUAACAUUUCAAAGUAGUAGAUGCUAUGCAACAUUCAUGUACAUUUUAUUUUAAUGUAUACCUACUGUAAGACCCCGAAUUUUAUGAAAUGAAAGUAUUCAAUUUUCUUAUGAUUAUUAUUUUAUUUCGUAAAUGGUUAAAUUGAUAAAAGGUUAAAGUUAAGGUUAAUAUGUGAAAAUUUUGUAAAGUAUGCAAGUUGUUAUAAAAUAUUCGAUUGGUCGGGGAAUAUUCUUUUUGUCGGAGAAUAUUCGUACGACGGCACAAUCAUUGGUGGACCGCACAACUGAAGUAUUGUCGUAUUUAGAAAAUGACAGAAUUAUCUUUUUAUAAAAAUAACGGCGAAAGUUUUACCGUUAAACUGUUGAACUACCCGGUAGUAAAAAUACAGUAAUACGCGUGGUUGCAUAGUAGCACACGGUAUUGAUUAUUGAUGCUUACAUAAGAAGUCACUCAGUUAUACUCAAUUAUUGUUACAGUAAUUGUUGCAUCAUAUCUCUCAUAUUAUUGAUUCAAUUAUUGUCACAGUAUCAUCUGUAUAAUAUAUUAUAUUAUUAAAUCAAUAAUUGACAUGACAAAGUUAUUCAUAUUAUUAUUUGUAAUAUUGACAAUGUCUAGAAGUUCUGUCAAUGAGAGGUUAGAUAAUCUAAUUGCGUGCCAAUAGGGAGAAAUCCUAAUCAGAAAACCCCCUCUUUCUUGGGAACGACCUGGUUGUUAAAUAUUAUGAAUUAUAAUAUUAAUGAUGAAUAAGUUCAUGUUGAUUAAAGAUGAAAUUGAUAGUUUCAUUGUGUUGAAAUUAUUAGUGUUAGUGAAAAUCGACAUUUAUUUCGAUAAUAAUUGAUGUCUGGAGGUUAUAUUAACCAAUCGGAUAAUUAACCGGAUAAAUGAGCAAUUAAUUUCUAUUAAUUCACAUAAUUAUAACUAUUUGUUCACAUGUGUGUACUAUUGAUUCACAUUCAUUUACUAUUAGGGGGGUUGGUGCAAGAUUUAUAAUACUUGCAUGACUAAGUUAAAAAUGGAGGUAUAAAUGGAGGUACUAUACUGUAAUUCGUAUUUUCACAUGAUUAGAACUAUUGAGUCACAUGAUUUACUAUUGAUUCACAUGAUUUACUAUUAGGGGAGGUGGUGCAAGUUUGAUAAUACUUGCAGGACUAAAUUAAAAAUGAAGGAAAAGAGGAAGGUAUUAUACUGUAAUAUUUNNNNNNNNNNNNNNNNNNNNNNNNNNNNNNNNNNNNNNNNNNNNNNNNNNNNNNNNNNNNNNNNNNNNNNNNNNNNNNNNNNNNNNNNNNNNNNNNNNNNNNNNNNNNNNNNNNNNNNNNNNNNNNNNNNNNNNNNNNNNNNNNNNNNNNNNNNNNNNNNNNNNNNNNNNNNNNNNNNNNNNNNNNNNNNNNNNNNNNNNNNNNNNNNNNNNNNNNNNNNNNNNNNNNNNNNNNNNNNNNNNNNNNNNNNNNNNNNNNNNNNNNNNNNNNNNNNNNNNNNNNNNNNNNNNNNNNNNNNNNNNNNNNNNNNNNNNNNNNNNNNNNNNNNNNNNNNNNNNNNNNNNNNNNNNNNNNNNNNNNNNNNNNNNNNNNNNNNNNNNNNNNNNNNNNNNNNNNNNNNNNNNNNNNNNNNNNNNNNNNNNNNNNNNNNNNNNNNNNNNNNNNNNNNNNNNNNNNNNNNNNNNNNNNNNNNNNNNNNNNNNNNNNNNNNNNNNNNNNNNNNNNNNNNNNNNNNNNNNNNNNNNNNNNNNNNNNNNNNNNNNNNNNNNNNNNNNNNNNNNNNNNNNNNNNNNNNNNNNNNNNNNNNNNNNNNNNNNNNNNNNNNNNNNNNNNNNNAAAGUCAUCUUUGGCUUACGUGCAUAGAUGGACUUGGUAUGAUUAUGACCAGGGAUUAUUCGGUAUAAUCAUGACCGUAAUGUGACGAAUGAUGUGGUAAAAGUCCUCAUUGGCCUGUAGUUCAUUGAUGGACAUUUGUUGGUAUGAUUAUGACCAGGGAUUAUUCGGUAUAAUCAUGACCAUUGAUGAUUACAUGAAUAUCCUUGGUCGUGGUGCAGGGAUGAUGUGGUUUAUUUAUUAAGUUGAGUCUCAGCAAUAAAGUUGAUGAAAAUCUUUUUAAAUCAUAGAAGAUAGUAGAUUUUAUGCUCUACUUGGCUCUUCUAAUGGAUUGCUUAUUCCGCUGCAGUUGUUGAUCUAAAACUUGUUGUCUAUUAUAUUCUAUCAGUUGUUAUACUGUUGAAAGCUAAGGAUAAUUUAUUCUGCAUUAUCUUAGUCAUAAUAUUUCUUACUGGGCUAGUUGAGCUCACCCUUUGCUUUCAUUGUUCUCUUCAGAAAAUGAGAAUAUAGCUGGGACGAGUCGGGGAACGGAGUGACGGUCCAGAUGAUAGCAUUAGUAGUCCUCACUAUUCUGUUAAAUAGCGUGACAAUAAAUGUAAUGAGGACUCCACUGAGUGUGGAUAUUGUCUAGAUGACAAUAUUCUUAUUAAAACUCUCAGUUUAUGUUUUUGUCGUAUUUUACACGACAAUUGUAUUAUUAAGUUGUAUUUGAAUUUUGUACCAUAUAUUUGGCGAUUCAAGAUGGGUGAUGUAUUUGAAUUUUGUACCAUAGUUUUCUACACAUUAUUAGUAAUGUUUCAUAAAUAUACAUAGAGAAUAGAAAUAUAACAAUUAAUAAUAAGGGUAUUAUAUGUAAAUUAUUAAAAAAAUAAAUCAUUUAAGAUAAAUAGAUAUUUAACUUGAGAUUAUCUGAAAUAGUAAUAAAGACUUUAAUUCUGAGACGAAAAGACUAAUAGGAAUAGAUUGUGAAGAGGAUGGCCGGUUGAGAAGUUUGAGUAAGAAAUUUGAUUGAAUUGUUUUAGAAAGUUUUCACCAUAGCGGUUGUUGGCGCAACUCUACGUUUUAUAAAUUACUUACAGAUAAUAUUUGAAUUUUAGUAUUGACAUAAGUGCGGUGAAAGUUCCUUCGUAUAUUUGUGAUUGUUGUAGGCGUUUUUGUCAAAAUUUAAAAUACUUUUACUUACAUCCCACUUUAUAAAAAUAAAAUAAAAUAAAAAGUGUUUUAAGGACUUUUACUAAUGUUGAAGACUUGGAAUAAGAAAAUUUUAUUCAUGGAAUGAGCUACUGCCUACUGUUGGUCAUAGAAAGACAUAAAAAUUCUUGUUGAAAAUCUUUAACCCCCAGUUCUUUCUUUUUUGUUUUAUUUUUUGAAAUCCUUUCUAUUUUUAUCUUAAAACUUUAUAUAAAUGUAAGUUGCUCUUGUUUAAACCAGUUUUAACAAUUUGACUUAUCUAAUUAAAAAGAGUAGACCCCACAUAAAAACAUUCCACAUCAUUUUAAUAUUCACUUAAUUUGGCCAUCACAAAUAAUUCAUACCAAUUUUCUCUUUCAUCAUGUACAAUCACAGCUACAUAAUGAAUCUGAAUGGGGAAAGAAACCAUCACAAUAAAUAUUAGAAAGAUGCCUAAAAUACAACUCAAAUUCAAACUCUAUUUUAAAACUAUUAAUAAAAAUUAGAUCAUUAGCCACCACGAGCAACCACCGACUUAAAAAGAUGGAUUUUUAAAGAAUAAACCCUAGAUAUUCAAAUGUCUGAUCUCUAAAAAUUAUAAGCUCAAUAAAAUUAUGGAACUUUACCUUCCGAUCUGUUUGCUAUGGUUUCGUUGCGAAGACCUUCCGAUAAGCUCUUCUGUCUACUACUUCAUCGUGUGAGAGAGGGAGGGAAGAAGUUGGAGAGAGAAAGUAGUCUUGUGUAUGAUAUGAGCUCUCAUUUGAGAAAGAGUGAAACCUGCGUAUUUUUUUUCCAAUUUGACCUGUACCGCUCAACCCGCGUAUUUUUGGCCCAAUUCAUCUUUAGUCCGUGAGUUUAGUUCGCU
rnacentral:lncRNA from 1 species